CAGCGCAGGCUCCGGUUUUGCUGUCUACACGAUAAUAACACUGCAGCCGGAGUUUCUGAAAAUCUUCACCCUGGCAGGAGUUUUGAAAAUGUUCGGUUUCAGUGACCUGGUGCAGUGUUUGCGCGAGGACGAACGGCCAACCCGCAGAGAAAAAGCUUCUGUUUUGAAAAUAACUGCAUUCGUGUGGACGGCCAAUGAGCGCGCGCGUUGAGCAUUCAAAUCAAACUGAAGCGGAGGAGGUUACCAUGGUAACAGGGCGUCAACUCACUCAGCUGACAAGAAGCAAGAGGCUGUCUCUCUGCUGUUUUCACUGCUUUCAGGAGUGGUUUAGUGUCUUCAAAAAGACCGUUAGCAUCAGGCUAACAAAUAGAGGAGUGUCAGGAAAAAAAGACCUAAAACGGGAAGUUACAAGAAAAUUUGUAAUGGGAGCUGCUGACAGAGAUACAGGAAACACAGGUGAUCUGAGAAAUCUUAUUAAAUAACUUUAUAUGAAUUUUUCACUAUACAUUUCAACUAUAUCAUCAUGCAUCUGUAAAACUUAAAAAUAUGAAUUCUGGUAUCUUAGGAUUUUUUGUAUGUUUUGUAUAUUAUUAUUAUUAUUAUUAUUAUUGCAUUUCACGUCUGCUGUAGUUUGUUUAUUUCUAAUAAUCCUGACAUUGUAUACUACAUUUUGUUGGCUAUGUGACAUUGUUCCUAUUCUUCCAUGCUGAUGGCUGUGCUGCGGAGCUGGAGCGGAUCUCCUGUUGAAGAACAUCUCCAAAGCGCCAUGAACCAUCUGACUAGGCAGUUCGUGAAGACGGAUAACCUGGACAGAAGUCGGUUCCAGAUCCAGGCUCCACACCAGACUUCUCACUCACAAGGAUUGCUGUCUACUAGAUAUUAUGUGUACUCUUCAGACUUGGGUACAGAUAUUAUUCAGGGACAUGAACACUUGAAUAUUGCAAAAAUAGAGAAACUAUCUUAUUUAAGAAUUUUGUGUUAAUUGCGUGAACAUUAAACAAAUAUACUGUAUAUUUCUUUUACUGUUUUUUGUUUUGUUUUCCAAAGCACCUAAAAGCCAAUUCACACUGCCAUACUCCAACAGGGUGAACACACUGACCAAGCAAAACAAUUAAGCAUGUUUUUAUAGUUUUUGUGAAAGUGUGAACUGACAAUGCUGUAUGUUAGGUGUGAGAUUCAUUCAACUUGGUUUGCUGAUUAAACAUGAUUAAAUAUUUGUUCAGAAUAUUGUCGU